UACAGAGGUCUCAAGCGUUGUUCGGAAUCACUGGGCGUAAAGGGCGCGUAGGCGGCCCUCCUAGUCGCGUGUGAAAGCCCCGGGCUCAACCUGGGAACGGCGCGCGAAACGGGGGGGCUGGAGUUCGGGAGAGGAGCGUGGAAUUCCCAGUGUAGAGGUGAAAUUCGUAGAUAUUGGGAAGAACACCGGUGGCGAAGGCGGCGCUCGUGGACCGAGACUGACGCUGAGGCGCGAAAGCGUGGGGAGCAAACAGG
rnacentral:rRNA from 1 species